rnacentral:rRNA from 1 species
CCGGAAGCUGUGAGAAGUGAGGAUGCAGACAUAAGUAACGACAAGGAUGGUAAAAUACCAUCCCGCCGAAUACCCAAGGUUUCCUGGGCAACGUUGUGCGCCCCAGGGUUAGCCGGAACCUAAGUCGUAGCCGAAUGGCGUAGACGAUGGACAGCGGGUUAAUACUCCCGCGCCGACACAGUGAUUAGCGCGCAAUGUACGGGCUUUCAGCAAAGCGCCCCUGAUUGACUUGGGGGGCUGGUUCGCCAGCCGGGUUUUGCUGGAUCUCGUCAAGAAAACAUUGUGUGUAUGCCUGGUCGUCCGUACCGCAAACCAACACAGGUGGGUGCGCUUAAUAUGCGAAGGCGAAAGAGUGAAACCUCGUUAAGGAACUCUGCAAUCUAGUCCCGUAACUUAGGGAGAAGGGAUGCCUGGUAAAACAGGUCGCAGUGAAUUGGGUCAACCGACUGUUUAUCAAAAACACAGCAUUGUGCAAAGACGAAAGUCUAAGUAUACGAUGUGACACGUGACCAAUGCGGAAAGAUUAAGGCAAAAGGUCAGUUGCAAAACAAAGCUUUGAACCUAAGUCCCCGUGAAUGACGGCCGUAACUAUAACGGUCCUAAGGUAGCGAAAUUCCUUGUCGGGUAAGUUCCGACCUGCACGAAUCGUGUAACGAGUUGACCACUGUCUCAACGAGGCGCUCAGUGAAUUAGUAGUGGCGGUGUAGAUGCCGCCUACCCGCAGAAGGACGGAAAGACCCUAUGCACCUUAACUGUAAGCUGUCACUGUUUCACUGAUUUCAAUGCUCAGCAUAAGUGGGAGACUUCGAAGUUGGGCUUUAGGGUUCAACAGAGUCAACAGUGAGAUACCACCCUUUGGUAUUGGUGAAUCUAACAGUGUUGCACCAAAAUGCAGCGCAGGACAAUGGCAGCCGGUCAGUUUUACUGGGGCGGUAUCCUCCCAAAAUGUAACGGAGGAGCGCGAAGGUGUGCUCAGCGCGGUUGGCAAUCGCGUAUUGAGUGUAUAGGCAAAAGCACGCCUAACUGUGAGACCCACGGGUCGAGCAGAUACGAAAGUAGGCCUAAGUGAUCCGGCGGUUUAAUGUGGAAUUGCCGUCGCUUAACGGAUAAAAGGUACGCUAGGGAUAACAGGCUGAUUUGACCCAAGAGUUCAUAUCGACGGUUAAGUUUGGCACCUCGAUGUCGGCUCGUCGCAUCCUGGGGCUGGAGAAGCUCCCAAGGGUUCGGCUGUUCGCCGAUGAAAGUGGUACGUGAGCUGGGUUCAGACCGUCGUGAGACAGGUCGGUCCCUAUCUGCUGUGGGCGGAGGAAACUUGAGGGGCUUUCUCCCUAGUACGAGAGGACUGGGAGGGACGCACCGCUGGUGUACCAGUUAUGGCGCUAGCCGUACCGCUGGGUAGCCACGUGCGGAAUGGAUAAACGCUGAAAGCAUAUAAGCGUGAAACUUCCCCCAAGAUCAGGUUUCCCGACAAGAAGACUCCUCGUAGACUACGAGGUCGAUAGGCCGGGUGUGUAAGUGCAGUAAUGCACUCAGCUAACCGGUACUAACAGUCGAGCGCUUGGCCAC